rnacentral:rRNA from 1 species
CAGUAGCCGCGGUAAUACAGAGGGUGCAAGCGUUAAUCGGAAUUACUGGGCGUAAAGCGCGCGUAGGUGGUUUGUUAAGUUGGAUGUGAAAGCCCCGGGCUCAACCUGGGAACUGCAUCCAAAACUGGCAAGCUAGAGUACGGUAGAGGGUGGUGGAAUUUCCUGUGUAGCGGUGAAAUGCGUAGAUAUAGGAAGGAACACCAGUGGCGAAGGCGACCACCUGGACUGAUACUGACACUGAGGUGCGAAAGCGUGGGGAGCAAACAGGAUUAUAUACCCCCGUAGUCCCUGUCUCUUAUAA